AUGCCGAUCCUCCUUUUCCUCAUAGACACGUCCGCCUCCAUGAACCAGCGGGCGUAUCUGGGCACCAGCUACCUGGACGUGGCCAAGGGCGCCGUCGAGCUCUUCAUGAAGCUGAGGGCCCGAGACCCGGCCAGCCGCGGCGACAGGUACAUGCUGGUCACCUUCGACGAGGCGCCUUAUUGCAUCAAGGCUGGAUGGAAGGAGAACCACGCCACUUUCAUGAACGAACUGAAAAACCUGCAAGCAUCCGGGUUGACCACCCUUGGCCAGGCUCUGCGAUCUUCCUUUGACCUGCUGAACCUCAACAGAUUAGUCUCUGGAAUAGACAACUAUGGGCAGGGGAGGAAUCCUUUUUUUUUAGAGCCAUCGAUUUUAAUUACCAUCACAGAUGGAAACAAGCUGACAAAUACUUCUUCUGUUCAAGAGGAGCUCCAUCUGCCUCUGAAUUCUCCCCUGCCUGGUAGCGAGCUAACCAAAGAACCGUUUCGCUGGGAUCAACGGCUGUUUGCCCUCGUGCUGCGCUUGCCCGGAGCCCCUUCAGUGGAACCUGAGCAGCUGGGGAGCGUUCCCACAGAUGAGUCUGCCAUCACACAGAUGUGCGAAGUCACUGGAGGGCGCUCGUAUUGUGUUCGGACACAGCGCAUGUUGAACCAAUGCUUAGAAUCCCUUGCUCAGAAGGUUCAGAGUGGUGUGGUCAUUAAUUUUGAAAAAUCGGGACCAGAUCCUCCUCACAUUGGGGAAGAUGGACCGGUGGAUGCCACAAGGCCUGUCAAUUCCUUCGGUUCUCAGCCAUGGCACAGCUGUCAUAAACUCAUCUAUGUGCGGCCAAACCCUAAGACGGGUGUGCCUGUUGGCCAUUGGCCAAUUCCUGAAUCAUUUUGGCCUGAUCAGAAUUCCCCAACGCUGCCCCCUCGCACUGCGCAUCCGGUGGUGAGGUUCUCCUGCAUGGAUUGCGAACCCAUGGUGAUUGAUAAACUGCCGUUCGACAAGUACGAAUUGGAACCGUCGCCUUUAACGCAGUACAUCUUGGAACGGAAGUUGUCUCACGUGUGCUGGCAGGUCUUUGUGAGCAGCAGCGCCAAAUACAGCGAGCUCGGACACCCCUUUGGUUAUUUAAAGGCCAGCACCAGUCUGACCUGUGUCAAUCUCUAUGUGAUGCCUUACAACUACCCCGUUCUGCUCCCGCUGCUCGAUGACCUUUUCAAGUUUCACAAACUUAAGCCAAAUCUGAAGUGGCGACAGGCAUUGGACAGCUACAUAAAAACCAUGCCUCCUUACUACUUAGUGCCAUUAAAGAAAGCCCUAAGGAUGAUGGGAGCUCCAAAUCUGAUAUCAGAUAAUUUAGAUUGUGGACUUAGUUACAGUGUUAUCUCUUACCUUAAAAAACUCAGCCAACAGACGAAAAUAGAGUCGGAGCGGAUAAUCGGGUCGGUGGGUAAGAAACCCCCGCAAGAGACGGGCAUUAAAGUGAAGAGUCACUCCAGUGGCCUGUCCCUCAUCCAGAGCAGGGAUUUCAAGCAGCUGCUUCAAGGGAUUUCUGGCGACUCCCCGCUGAGGCUGCCUGAAAUGAACGUGAAGGAAUUUGCUGGCUUCCAGAUAGGGCUCCUGAAUAAGGAUCUAAAGCCACAGGCCUACCGCAAUGCUUACGACAUUCCGCGCCGCAGCCUUUUAGACCAGCUGACCCGGAUGAGAACUAACCUGUUGAAAACACACAAGGUCAUUCAAGGCCAGGAUGAAGAUUGCCUUCACAGUGUCCCCGUAGCACAGAUGGGGAACUAUCAGGAAUACCUAAAGAUGAUGCCUUCUCCUCUUCGAGAAAUUGACCCCGACCAGCCCAAAAGGCUUCACACGUUCGGAAACCCUUUCAAGCAGGAUAAAAAGGGAAUGAUGAUUGACGAAGCGGAUGAAUUUGUCGCCGGUCCUCAGAACAAAGUCAAACGUCCCGGAGAGCCCAACACACCGGCCUCCCUCAAGAGAAGGCGCAACAUGUCCCCAUUCUUGAGACGGCCGCAGUCGCCGCCAGUCGUAGCCAACCACGUUGGCGGAAAGGGGUCGCCCUCAGCCGCUGGGCCCCCACCCAACCCCAAUACUAAAGCUACACCAGCUUAUAAAGAUGCAAACAGCAAUACGGUUCAAGAUGGCAACGGUGAAAAGAAAGCCGAGAAUUUCCAGCCGCCGGACAAACCCGGGGAUGGACCUUUGGUGCAUCUUGUUCCUCCGUCCCCGGCUGCCGUGGUGGACGACGAACUGCCAAACGAUAUGGACUCUUUGACCGGCGAACUGAACUGUGUUGGGGAAGAUGGACUGGACCCCAAGCCUGCGGUCAAUUCCCUCGUACGGGGCCCUAUAAACUACAGUAUGUCCGCCGAAGACCAAAAACUACUGGUGGAGCCAGCAUCGGGAACAGUGCCAAAUUCAGUGAAAAUCACAUCCAAUAUGUUUGAAGGGAACAACGAGGUUAUCAAAAUCAAGGUUAUGAAGGAGGUUCGCAAACCCGGGAGAAAUUAUGAAAAAAUCUUCUCUCUCCUCGAAGAAAUACAAGGCCCUGUAGAGGUUCAAAAAUAUUUCAUUGAAUUUGCUAUCAAAGAAGCAACAAGGUUUAAAAAACGGGUCUUAAUUCAGCACUUAGAAAGAAUACUAGAGGAAAUAGAGUUCAGCAGCCUUCCCAACCGAAUUAAUCAUGUCAACAGUAGAUAAUAAUAGCGUGCCGGCCAGAGGAACGGACGGGGUCCAGCCGAUGGGAGUUUGCUGUGCCGUGGAGGAACGGAAGAGGACGUGGCAGCCGUGGCCUGCGCCAGCCUGGCAGGCGAGCGGCUUUCCGGUGGGCGUCUCAGAAGAAGCAGGGUGAUGUCUGUACGCAUUGCGCACCUCUUUGGCCGGACACCUGAGGAAUUGGCCGCAGGAGGUGUGUGGCUUCCUCCCUCCCCACCCACCUUCGGAGGGGCUGACCUGGGCCCCGGGCCGGAGACAGACACUCAGUGCCGCCCCCUGGGCCCUGCAGACGUUCUUGCAAGCACGUCCGAGGCUCCCCAGGUCCAGGCUUCAGUUCUCUUUCAUCUUGGUGAGGAGGACGGAGACGCUUCUCGUGGACUUGGCUUUGGGGUGGGGUGGGUGAGGUGGGGGCGCUUCUUAGAAAGAAACUCGGGGGUUUAGGGACAAAAACAAAAAGGCAGGAAAAAAAAAGAAAACCUCCCCCUUCCCCAACCCUUCAAAUGAAUUUUACUUUUUAAAUGUUCAUACCAGAAGAAAUUAUUUUGGACAGUGUUGUUUAACAAGAUCCUUAAUUUGAGAUAUCAGAUGGCAUGUGUGCGUGUGUGUGUGUGUGCGUAUAGACUAUAUAUGUAUAUAUAUAUAUACG